CGACUGCCAAAUACGUUUUGCAAACUUUUUAGCGUAGGUGACAUUUAAAGGCCUCAGGAGAAGGCGUGCUACGGUGUUACCUCAAAGGCAUUUUAUCAGGUUUUAUCAUUUUAUUAAGAUGUAGUGUCAGUCUAAACAGAAGAAACGGAAUGAUUUGGUACUGAAGGUGGUGUGUCGGUCGCCUGAGGCCUAUAUAAAAUCUUUAUGUUCUGUAUUUGUCUAUGAUACAGUCCGAGAAUAUGACUAGAAUGCAAUGGUCGGGUGUGUCUUUACCAAAGCAUACGUUUGGGCUUUGAAUGAAUCUGAAUCCAGCAGGGAAGGAGCGGAAUAUAAGAGUUGGGUGUAUAUUACAGUAGUCUGCUCGACUUGUCAAAGAAUAUCGAGGAGUCAUUCCUGCGUUUAUACCACACUAACUCAUAAUUGAGUGCACGGGCAGACUGACCCUGUAUAGUCUAAUUAAGAUAAGCUUUAAGUCGAGAGGAAAGCACAUAGAGUGAAUUCCUCAAGGCCCCACCCUUUGUAGCGCAACAUGGAUGUGGAGAGUUGCCCCCACCUCUUCCUCCUCCUCCUCCUCCUCCUCCUCCUCCUCCUCUUCUCUUUCUCUCUGUCUCUCCCUCCGCGUCAUUCAUUUCCCCUUUCAAGCUUGUCUUAUGCUGUUUUUCCCCAUCAGUAUCUCCAGGUGCCUACAGUAGAUCUUCUUGUCUUUUAACCAACUUUCGAUCAUGGCAUCAGGAUCUACCUCCAGGAAUCUACAGAGGUGUUAAAUUGGUAGAGAAAAUGCACUUUUCGGGCUGGGGAUGCUCUGGAAACGCUUGUUAGUUGCACAGGGCUCACUUCAGCUUCCCAAACUGCCUACCCUUUAUCUCAAGAGUGCCCGGCCUGCUGUAAUCACCCCCUCUUAGGGUAUGAAUAGUGAAUUAUACAUGAUGCUGCAGGCUGUACAGAGUCCGGGACACUAGACACAUCUGGAUUAUCAGGAUGCCACCAUUUGAACACCCAGGCCCUGGAUUGUUUGUUUUUUUUUUGUUUGUUUUUUUUUUAAGAGAAUUAACCUCUGCGGUAAUAAUGUUGGAGUCCCAGCACAUGUCCCACCCACCCACCCUCCAUGUAGGAAGUGCUGUUUUGGGACUAGUUUCACAUACAGGAGUGUGAUAAUGUAUUUACAAGGCCUCAUUGACUUUGGUUACAAUGACACAUUAUGAGUGUUAAAAAACUGGUAUGCAAAAAGGAUGUGAAAUAGUUAGUUAUUGUUAGAACUGUCAUAGUGAACUUAGAGAGAUUCUAACUGCAUGAAAUCUGAUCCAGGCACAUAAAUGUCACAAUUUUUAAGUAAAAAAGGAUCUGAAUCUGCAGCCUCAGCUACAUUCAUGCGACUCAAUGGUAACUACUGUUGAUUUGUGAAGAAUUUAAUGACUUUAUGAAUCCUCGGUUGAAUUGCUGUUCAGAUGACAUCUUUAUCCACCACUACUGACAUUUUGCUGUUACGCACUGUACAGUAUAGUGUACCACUCUGUACCAUUAAGAAGUUACCCCCCUAUUGGCUCUUUUCCACCCCCUUUCUCUCCUUCCCGCUUUGUCAUCUUAUUCAUGUGUUUGCUUUGUCUGGGCUCCAAUUGUUUAGCCACACUGGACUGACCUAUGUACAUACAUAUGUGUGUGUUAGUGGUUAGCCAGCACAGUCGUUAUCUCUGCGUGACUAGAUGUGAUUAAUACAGCCGUCCAGCAAUGACGUCCAUUGCGCCACUCCCCAGACAGAGACACACACAGAAAGGGCAUGUAUGAGGGGAGAAAGAUUGGAAUCUGAUUUUGGAAUAUGAUUUUUUCUGAGUUUGUGCUAGCGAUUUUGUGACCCUGUGCCCUGUAAUAGAGUCAAAUGUCAAGUCUUCCUGUAAGUCGUUAUUUUGAGUGCAUAUGAAUGCAUCUAUCUUUGUGUGUGUGUGUGUGUGUGUGUGUGUGUGUGUUUGAGUAUUUGCCAUAUUUCAUGCAAAUGUGUGUAUAUUUGUGGGUGGGCAGAUUGGAAAGGGUUUAGCCUGACAGACAGGCCUUUUACUUAACUGUCCAAAAUAACCGCAGAAAGAUCUGGAACCGUUUUGCCCCGCCAGAGUUACUGACAUUGAUCAAUUUUUUUUUUAAAGUGUCAUUUGAUGAGUCCCUCCUCCUCUGCUAACUUGGGCUUAUGAAUGACCAACACAUCAAGUGACUUGGUGCAACUGAGCGGGACUGAACAUUGACUGUUAUUGAUGGCCAAUCAAAGAGGGGAGGAUCUGCGGUGGAAAUGCGGUAGCUGCAGUGAGGUUGCACAUUUUUAUAGCCACACCCAGACAGCCUCAGAGAGCUAACUUUGACUAGCUUAGGCAAAUUUUUUACACGCUUUAGGAUGAAUACCACGUUGGUUUUCUGAAUGCGAGAAAUAAAAGAAAAAUGUUACUUCUAAUAUCUGUAUAUAGUUGAUUCGAGUUGAAAGAGGUUAACGAGUAUAACAAUUAGAAGUGGGUUGAAAGGAUGUGUGACUGUGUCUGGUUUAGACAACCAAAGCUCCUUGUCAGGUGUUGUAGGUGUGUGUGUGUGUGUGUAUGGUCUCCUCUGAUGGAGAGACAGAUGUAGUCUCUGUCUGUGCUUGCAUGUACGCACAUGCUCAGGACAGGGGUGUGUGGGUGUGUGCAGCAUGGUGAGAUAUAGUAGUUGGUGAUGCAGCGCUAACAGUAUUCCAACUGUGUCCCAGACUAUAUUGUAACUUCCUCAUAUGGAGAGAGAUUGUCACCACUCCACAGCAGGGCUGCGUGUGGUUUACCAGACCAGCCCAUACUCAUAUGUACAGCACAUGUUGCACUGUGUGUGCCUGCCCACUGGAAAAGAUCUCUCUAACAACAAAAGAAUAGUUUUAUCGGCUAAAUACAGGCAUAAUGAGUUAACCUGUGCUAGUUUGGUAGAGUGAUCCUGGCCUGUUUUGUCUGCGGCUCGGCCUCAGAUUCCUCAGAAGAGAGCUAAAUGAAACAUCAUUGUAGGCUCUGGUUGGACCUUUAGUUCUGAGUUUGUGAGGCUUAAUAAGGUCUAGCCUCAUGCAGGCACAGGCUGAGCUAAGUGUUGAGAUUAUUUUAGGCAGGCUGGAGCAAUGCCGUAGCACGCUCAGCUUUGGGCUGAUCUCUGCAGGACCAGCGGUGAGGAGCGGUGGGCCUCUCGGCAGACCGGCUGGAAUGUGGACCAUAUGUAGCAGGCAUUCCAGGAAUGUAACUCGGCCUUGCUGAACUGACCAACCUAAAGACACAGAGAGAGCGGAGCAGGAUAAAGAGGAGAGAAAGGUGAUAAAAUGAAGGUAGAGCAAGGAAGAGGAUAUUAAAGGACAAAAUAGAUCACAGAGGUGAAAGAGAGAUGGGGGAAAAUGAAAGGAAGGCAGAAGAAGAGAGCUUAACGAAGCUCAUGAAAGAUGAGUGUAGGAAUGAUGGGGGAGAAGGGGAGACGACUGAUGGGCAAUGGACGGGCUAAAGGGAGAAAGUAGUAAAGAAAGGUAGCUACAUAUUCCAAACACUCUGGUACAAAUAAUUUAUUAGGUUGAAGUUUACUUGACCAAGUCUUCAUCUUCAUCAGGGUGCUGCAGACAGAAAGAUUUGUGAUGAGUAUAAGAUGGCUUCUUUAGUGUGGACUACACUGGUGUUAUUCAGUAUACUAACUACACUUGUGUUGCACCGUCUUGUACUGUUAUACUUGCCAUGAUGUCUUUCCGUAUGCAGUAUACUGAUGAAGAAUGAGCUUCAGUCAAUUGACAGGGAAUUAAUUCAAUUCAAUACAAUUCUGCUUAUCGAUUUUUUGUUUAAGUAAUUUAAUUGAGGAAAAAAGUCAAAUAUUUGCUGGUUUCUGCUUCUCAAAUGAGUGGAUUACCGUUAUAGGUAUUUUUUUUUUUCAGCAUUUUAUAAACUAAAAGAUUUUUAAAAUUAAACAAUAGACAGAUUAACCAAUUAACAUCCAAAAAGCUGCUGCAAUUGUUAGCUUGUGACUACAUUAUUUAAGUACUUGUAAUGCAUAUGAACUAAAGAAAGAAACACAGGAGGAUACAAAAAUAUUAACUAGCUGGUGUGCUUUAACACAGUGACACAGCUUUGUUUAAUUCUUUGACAUAACUUUUAAUUUUAACCUCUUUGCAUGCAUUAUUACUCUUUAUGAGAUGACAGGAAAAAAUGACCAGAAAACCAGGGAACUUCAGGACAUGAGUAACUUAAAAUAAAGACCAUUUAAACUCAAGACGUAAGAAGUAAGAUGGUUUUACUUGAGUAAAUGCAUCAGUAAUUACCUCAAUCUAGUCAUGUGGUAACCUACUCAAUUAGCACAGGCUUUAUUUAAUAAUUAAAGCUGUUGGAUACUAACAUCAUGUCGUAUCUAAUGUAUUCACUAAACACUUGUACAGUGUAAUAGAGGAUAUUUUAUAAGAUGUGACUUCUGUGGAUGAAAUGUGGAAUUGUAUUAUUAUGUGUGUCAGACCACAGUGUUCUUCCAGCUCAGUAACUCAGGGUGAAUGUCUCUGUCUCAUCUCUGUUAGCUUAGCACACUGUGCUCUCAGGCCAUCUGGGUACAGCUGGGGCCAGAACGGCAGGAAACACACUCACUCACAGAUACACACUUUUAGUCUAACAUACCCCGGCCAUGCCCCCUACACACACAUACACACCCUGUUCAGUGGAGUGUGAUGGCAGUUAACCUCCACUUGCCACAGUUUUUCAUUGACCAACCAAACUGUCAUCAGCUCAUCAUUUCAUCUUCUGUCAGUGCAAUAGAUUCUUUUUAAUCCUUUUCAAUCUAAUUAGAAAUUUAGCUCAUAAAACCAGGAACCAAUAAACUAAAUUACGACCUCUGCAUUGUGGUACCCACCCAGAUUAGCGUGGUAACCCUUUUAUGGGUGCUGAUCUGCAGCUAGAGACGACAGCAUGAAGUAAAUUUUUGUCUCCACACAAAUGUUAAAGGCAGUGGUCAAAUCAACUUAAUAUGGUUGGCUGAGUAAAUUAUAAGGUAAACUGUCUGGUGCAAAGACAUUAAUCACAGCAACAUUUUUAUUGAUAGAUGUAGAAAGGACUUAAAAUAGGGUAACUUUCACUUUCUUAAACCAAGGUGAGUGUUUGGCUUUGGCAUAUUACUCCUCUUUGACCCUUUCCUCUGUUGAGUCACCCUAAGUUUGGAGUGGACCUCAAAAAAGAGAGCAGCAGGACAGAAGCCAUGAAUACCCUUGCCUGAAACAAAGACCACUUCAUAUCAUCAAAAAUAAAUACAAUUUUCUGAAAUAAAAUAUUAAAACAACUAUAACCAACAUUUCUGUAUUAACAAAAGGUUCACAUGACAAAUUGUACCUGAAAGGGGUUUGGUUUUAAGCCCCACAAUUUUACUUUUGUGGUUCACUUUCACUGCUCAUAGUGUCAUUUUUGGCCGCAUUUCAGUAAAAAAUAAACUAUGAACCAACUACACUACCUGCUCAGCACCAAACAGCAGACAGACACAGUUAGCCAUUAGCUGGUGGAUGUGGAGGAGCAUUUAGCAGCUAAAGAGAUAUUUCCCUCUGGAGUUGGUGGGGACCAAAAAACGAGCUAAAAGUGAGUGAAUAUUAGACUUACAUUCGUAAGGUGGAUCCAAACACGACUCCAAAUGAAUGAUAAUGUUCCUCCAUAUCUGCUGGAUGUGUUACUACGAAACUAUUUGCAACAACAAGUGCGUCAUAUCAACUGAAAGGUGAUAAUUUUUUUCUGAGUGGGCAAAAAAAUCAGUUAAUGCAGGUUUAACCUUCAGGGGAAAAGAGCAAAGAGCAGAAGUGCUAUUUAACAAAGCAAAUACCAUAUAUCUGAUGAGUGUGAUUAAUGUUUCAGCCAUCAUCAUAGCUAAAUUGGUCUGGAAAUGAUCUUGGCAAAAAAAAAUCUUGUGGGAAACCCUGGAAACCACACACGUAAAGACAGAUGAGGGAGUGGAGGACUUUUUUUCUUCAGCUGGAACAGGCACCUCACAGAGCAAACUUGUAUUGGGACACCAGUAUGUUUCACAUGUUCAUAAAAUCAUAGUUUUAUUAUUUCUUAUUAAUCUUUUGUGAAGAAAAUGACAUUGGUCAGAAAGGAGAUGGUCUAUGGCAUGUUUCAGCCAUCUGUGUCUUUUUUCUCCUUCUCUUGAGGGAGGAUAGGUGGGGUGAAGGGAUGAUGCUGAGGAGAUUCUCUGGGAUUCGUACCACGCAUGGGCAGCUGCAACUUCAUUUGCCCUACAGGCAUUUCCAGUCUUUCAGCACUUUUAGCCUAACUAAACUGCUAGUAAGAGGGGGAGGAUGACAAAGGAUAUAUAUAUAUAUAUAUAUAUAUAUGAGAGAGAGAGAGAGAGAGAGAAUAUUUGUGGGGCCUACAGGGGCAUAUAGGAAGAGCAAGGGAUGGACACAAAUGAGAGAGACAAUGUAUUCUUUGACACACUUCUUCCCAGUGGUAGGAAGGGAGAUGACAGCCAGAUGAAGCACACAAAUCUUUUCUUUAUGUUGGGCCCCUUUACCCAGUGUUCACACCCCUACUUCCACUCCUAUGUUUCUGUAUCUCACUGUCUCCAGAGCUUUCUUUCUCCAUCCUGUUCAGUUAUAUUUUCCAAAGGAUGAUUUGAUCUCUCUCACUGUGUGUGUGUGUGUGUGUAGAAAAUUUGACACUCUCUGUGUCCUUCACAGGGAGCUUGCAUCAGACACACACACACACGUCCGCAGUUUCAGAGUCAUGCUGCGUCAUUGUCUGUGCAUCUGUGCAUGGUGGGAACACCAGGACCAGGUUGUCUGCUUCUCACUUCAUGACAUCACUGAGGCAGAUAGCACCACAUCUCCCUCUCUUCCUACACAAACACACACCAUGCAUUCCUGGCUCCAGAUGCUCAGUAUAAAAACCUGUUAGACGCUGUGCAGGACUUUACUGGAAGGGUCAUUUCCUCUUCCUUUUCCCACCUGCUGACUUCCUGCCAAUUGACAUCACCUUUUCCUUAAGCAAAUACCAUCAUGCACAUGAAGGAAGUGCAUUAGCAAGCUGUGCUCAAUGGAUCAAAGGGGCCUGCAAAAUUUCUCACGUGUGUGGAUAAUGACUGGUAUAAUUGCUGUCAGGUUGUUCUAUUUGAAUGUGUAUUUUUGGAGCAGAAAUGCCUUGUUGAGAUACAAGUUUUUUGUGUGUGUAUGUGGCGCUGAGUCACUUGUUUAUGCCAUGUUUCAUGGGCCCCACCCUUACUGCUGUCUUUCUCUGUAUCCCUCUCCUUCACCCCCAACCCUCCAGCUUCGACCCUCAAAUUAGAAGAAAACCUCUUAUUACUGCACUUUGGGACAUUACUGGAUGUUUCCUACCAGGGGAACAGCUGUGCUAGACAAAACCUCUUAUGAGGAACAGCCUUUUUACGGGGCGUCAGUCCACGUUUAAAGAAUGCCUUAUUCCUGUUUUCUACCACUGGAAGUUGUUCUUCCACUUCCAGCUGUAACCGGUUUCAUUUAGAAUCAUUUAUUCAUAUCCAAAUAAAAAGCAGCCGUGAGCACAAAUAGAGAUUAUACAAUAUAGAUGCACGGGGCUCCUGCACAUGUAUGUGCACUCACACACACACUCCCUCAUACUGUAAUUCACAUGGCGUGAGUGUGUUGUGAGAGCUGGUGGCGCUUCUGUAAAACAGGGCGUGGACUCCCCACCCCCAUCUCCCAUUGCAUGCAUACAUUUGCUCGCUCACGUACCUCAUGCAUACACAUUAUCGCUCUAUCAGGGUCUCAGUCAAUUCCAGCUUGUACCCCCUAUCUUCAUCAUUUUGAGAAGCAAGCAGUACAAGUGAUGAACCUACUCUGACAGAGUGCUAGUGUUAGCAUGCCUCUCCACCAGAAUUACUCUUCAGCAAUGUUUGCUUGUGUGUCUGUGUUUGUGUGUAUGAAUAUGUCUCUUGAAAUUGAUUCCCCUUCUUCUCACUAAUCCCAUUCAAGGCUGUAGGAGGAAAGCACCAGCAAAUAUAUUGAUCCACUCUUGACUUGAAAGCAAUUUGUCAUGGCCUUGGGUAAAGGAUUAUGGGGGUUGGGUGUGCACAUAUGAUCGAGUGCAGACCAGCUGAAAUUGGGACAAUGGCACACAACGCUAUCAGUGUAAACAUGAUAGUGUCCAAACAUGUGCACAUACUGAUGUGCAAUCCGAGGAUUGCAAAAGUAUAGAAUUUUAAUAAUCACACUAGUUGUCCACUUGCAAGAAGCAUAAUUUAAAGUUUAAUGUGGCCAUUAAUUGUUUAUACAAUCUCAAAGUAAGAUUAAUACAAACAUGGAUCUUUGAUGACAAGUGAAUGCAAAUGACACAGUUGAUUGAACAAGUGCUGCACGGUUUCCAGUGUGAUCAGAAGUGAAGAAUAAAUCAGAGUGAUAUUUAACUGUAAAUGAGCUGGUUAUCAGAACCAAAACACUCGCAUUGAUGGUCAUGUCUUUGUGCAGCAUAUGUGACCAAUCUUGCAGAAUGCUGAAGCAAAAGAAGCAUUUUUAUAGAUUGAGCUGAAGGUGGCUUGAUAGAGAAAUUAUUUUUAGAUAUUCAUUUACAUAAUCUAUUUUACUGGUAAAGUCAUUAUUGAUGCUAUAGAUUAUAGGCAAAUUCUAAAACAAAUCCCAGUGAACGCAUUUUGGAUUAUUUUUAUAGCCUACAUUGACGUUUAUAAUUUUUGCUAGGCAAUAAAUGGUAGCUUUCUUUAAAAACAGCAAGUGUUUUGGGACUUGUCGUUGUAUUAAUACAAGUUCCCAUGUACAUUAUGGGUGGGAAAACCUAAUGCCAGAGAACUGGAUCCCUACAAAUACAACAAAUUCAUUUUAUGUAUUAAUAGUUUUUUCUGUUAUAAUGGAGAUCAGUUUGAUACGUGACAAACUGAACUUGGAUAUGUGCGAUUGUUAUGCUGUUAUUGAUCUAACUACUCUGGGGUGUGCCGUAAGGUUGCUAUAAUAACACUAGCAUUGGCUGUUCUGCCAAGCUCGCGGUUUUCAAGGGAAAAUAUUUUAGAUUACUGCGAUACUAAAAAAGACAAGGGCUGGGUGAUACUCCUUGUGAAAUAGAUAUUGUUGAGGCCUUUGGAAGACAGAUAAGAGGCUUGCCAGAAUAUGUUGCAAAGCUGCUCUCAUCCUCAUAACACAGCAAGCACAUAUGUAAGAUUAUCCUGCCCAUAUAGAAAACGACUACAGUAUGCUCAACUGUAGUAUUAGCCCAUACAGCAUGCAAUCUAGCUUAAAUCUUGUGUGUAUCCCCAUGUUAGCUUUUUGCUUUCUCAUGCUGCAGGAGAAGCUGAUAUUACCACUUAUUCCCAUGACACUGAAACUGAGUCAAAAUACGGACUAGAUGCAUUUUUUGCAAUCGAUUUUUUUUUUGGAUAAGAAAUGGCAUUCUUGGAAUGAUUCAUGGGGCUUCCCAUUCUUUCGUGUUGGCCAAGUCAUUCCCUGCACAGCCCUCUGGGAUAUAUUGUUAUUGGCAAGCGUUCAUAGAUUUAAUCCAUUCUCCAUUCUCUAUGGGGGUUUUUUUUAAUCAUACUUCAGCACUUAGAUAUCAGUCAAAUUUACUGAGAAAGAUCAUUACAGCUCAAACCAAACCGGCGGCCGCCACGUAACAAGCUAGGUUGCACUGGAAACAAAUGAGGUUGUUCCCAAUCCCCAAGAGGAAGCGCUCUCUGUGUGAAGUCAAAUCACUUUCUGUAUGAAGGUAUAUUGAUACGUGUUGUUUUGCAAAGUGUCAGUAGGUCGUACUUUAUGUUUCACAGUGACUUUGCAUUUUAGAACACUUUGGUUAAAGUGUUACUUUAGUCAAACCUCACUUCAGUUUUAACAUUUGCCCUCAUCCUAACCCCAAGUUAACCACCACCUCAUCCCCAUCACCACUAAACACACCGUUUGGCCUAGUUUUUGUUUGUGUUUCAGAGGUUUGUCUUUACUUUUGGAGCUUAACAGAUAUUUAGUUAAUCUGGUUCCUGAGCAGCCACUGUGCUGCCUUAGGAAAAGCUGAACACCUGAAAUACAAACAUAUAUGGGAAGUUUCUCUGUGCAUGUGCAACCUAAGAAUAAUGACUCCAUUUGGGGACAGUAGGCCUUGUUCUCAAUGACUUAAGUUAUUGCUUGCGCACUGCCAACUGUGCUUGAAUCACUCAUACACACAUACACUGUGUGCUUCUUGUGUGUUUCUCUGUUUGUGCAUACACACUCCGAGGAGCCAUUUUCAGCCUGUUGCUUAGGCUGGCUGUAAUUGUCCUGGGAAUCGUCAGCUCUGUGUAAUAAAUCACUCCUCUGGUACACUGUGUUCUCCACUCUGGGAUGGCCUCUGUGUGCGUGAAGUGUGCAUGCUUAACAUAUCAUGAGCAGAGGAAGAACAUAGCUAAGAAAUAAUAGGGGUUGAAAUUACAUUUAGAGGGAAAAAACUGCAGCCUUCUGUCACAACAAGCUUUUUAAUUCGCCAGAGGCACAACUGAAUUUUUUAUGCUAUGUGAAAAACCAACCAAUGGAUGUAAUUGGUUUAUAAUCAAGAUGUAAAUUAAUUUCAUAUAGUCAAUAUGAAAAUAAUUACAAUUAACACAUAAUACACAGAGCAGGGAUAAGCUUAUAACCUGGUAAUGACAAAAGGUGUCAAAAUGUGUGAAAGUGUGUGUGUGUGUGUGUGUGUGUGUGUGUGUGUGUGUUUCUCAGUCGAAAAUAGACUCUCAUCAUCUUACCCUCUGGAGUGUCACAUUUCUAGCUAAUGCUACAACUUUACUCAGAUUCUUCCGUGUGCAGCAGAUAUUUCUACUAGCUUGGGUUAGCGAGCAAUUUGACUCUAAAUAUUAAGCUUCUUUGGUUGCACAACAUGUUUUGAGCUGAACAGACAAGUUGCCAGAUUGUGCUAUUUGGCCAGAGGCAGGCUUGUUGUUCAUCCUGUGUCAUAUUGGGGUUGUUACAUGGUCACCAGUUUGUUUUAUUGUAGCAGUACUGAUCUCUGACCUUGUUAUGGUUUGCUGUUCUCUUUUCACCAUCCUUUUCUGUCUCUUCUUUUAUCUGUUCACCUCUCUCUCCGUAAAAAUGUCAUCUUCUUCUCAGUUUAAAUACAAUCUGUCGAACACCAGAAGAAACUUAUCUCCUCACUGGUAACAAAGGCCAAUGGAGCUUUCGGGUGCUUCUUUACAAAUCUACUCACAAAGGAGGAGCCUUUGCCCUGGAUCUCAUCUCCAGUAUUACACACCCACAAUGGAUCCCUCUGGAUUUAGUACAAGAUCAAGCUCAUUCAUAAUACUUGUCUCAGUGGAAGUAGACCAUUCGGUCACAUCGAGAGGGUGUGUUUGUGUGUGUGUCUCUGCAGUCCAGAGCUUUCCACUGUUGUUCAGAGCAGCGUGGGGUUCGUUGAGUUUCCAGGGGUUGCUGGGUUCGCAGUGCUGCUGAGAGCUAGUUUGCCCAAAGUCCUGUCCUUGAACUGUGAAAGAAUAUGCUGCUAGGGAAAGGCUUUUCAGACUGACUGACUGCAAUAGUUGAAGUCAGGCCAGCUGAAUGGAAGCCAGGCAAGACAAAUCCUGGGCUACUCGUAAGUAUUACACAGUGGCCAGCGGAAAGGGAAUGUUAAAGUGGCACAUCACAUAAAGGGUUUUCUUGUCACUUUUGAUUUCUAACACUCAAUUGGGCCAUGGUUAAACCUUCAAAACUAUUUCAUAGCAAAGAAGAUGAUGGACCAGAUUGGCCCUGUGUAGUUACUCUUAAGGGCUUCAUCCUUCUACCAAAAUUUAUUAAACUGACAUUCACUGGGAUGGAAAUUUGUGGGGUUUUCUCAAGGUGAAAUAACAAAAUACUUGACGUGUCAGUGAAGCAGUCACACACCCAAGGGAGUGGAAGUGUCUAAACUGCAAGGAAAAUUCCUUCAUUCAGGCCCGUAUGGCUGCUGAAAACUGAACUGCCCCACAGGACAAGAGCUGUUUUCUAUCAGGAGGUCCGGGCUGUAACCAGAGGCCAAGCUAUAUAGCUAGCAAAGACUUCUGUAUUCAAUUAUAGCAAAAACAGAGGGAAUGUUAAAACAGUAGGCUGGCAUGUGUGAUGCAGGCUAGCCUCCACGCCGUUAUGCACACGCAGCUAGUUUGUUUCUACGCGCACACACAUUUAAACACAUUGUAAACCGCAGUAUUCACAAAUAAUGACGAAAGAAUGUAAUAAAGUUUUUCCUCUCUGGUAUCUUUUCUUUCUAGCUCCUCACCUCUCUCCCACAACAAGUUCCCUUUAAAGCCAGCCCAGAAAGGAGUAUGUGUGUGUGUGUGUGUGUGCGUGUGUGUGUGCGCGUGUGUGCGCGUGUGUGCGCGCGCGUGUGUGUGUGUGUGUGUGUGUGUGUGCCAAGCGGCAACCAUCAUAGCCAAAAGCUGAAGCCAAUGUGGAAGCGCCUUAAGAUGGAGCACAUAUAAUGGUUGCUAGAUGCUGUUUCCAAAAAAUCUCCAACUGCAAAUUUUCUCUGAUAAGUCAUUAAUUUUUGUCAGAAGAACUUAUGGCCUCAACAACUUAUUUAACUCGCUAAUUUGUGCCUUGAUGGUGAUUUUGAAAAUGACUGUUUCAUUAGGGACGUAUUAAGACUUUAACAGGAGUAUGAUUAGGAAUGUGUUUGCUUCAUUGCCUAUUAGCCUCAGUUACCAUCACAGAUGGCAGCAAGCAGCAAAUUGAGAUCGACGCUUCAAAAUGUCACUUUCAGGAUUGUCCAUAUUUUUCUUCAGGUUAUGGUAUGUAUAGGGUGCAUGUUGGGUAUAGGGUGCUCGUUGGCUGACCUACAGCAGUUCUUCACUGGCAAGCUUUAUGUCCUCAUGUACCAGCUAAAGCUGCCAGCUGAAGAACUGUUGUGGUCGGCCCUUUCCUGCACUGAAGACCCAUCCAUUCCCAGGAAUGACAUGAGGGUGAUCUUGGAAUUAAAUCCAGCCUCUGAUCAUCAUAUAAAAUAAUAAGCAUAGUCCGUCACUGCAUGAAAACCCUGUUACUUAUGCGGCAUGUUCAUGUGUUGAGAUUCAUACCAUGACACCUGCUGUAUCAUGUAACAAAAGCAUUGCGUCAUGGGACUGUGAACUCUGUCUCUGUCAUUUUGGGUUAGUUUUCAUGAUAGCUGCGCAGUUUAGUGGUUAUUUUUAAUGAUAUGUUAUCAUAAUGUUGCUCUACAGUGUUGGCACAAUUGUAAGUUUCACCUGGCUUGCAUCAUCCCAAAAACAUGUUUUAGUCGAGUAUCAGCAGUCACAUUCAAAAGGCUUGACAUAUGACUCCUCAUUAAAAUUUAAAGGAGAAACAAACAUCUGAAAUGGAUUUUUAACAAUUCAAGAUUUUCCAGUGAAAUUUAACUUGAAGAUAGCCUUUCAAUGAUAAACACAAACGUCUGAAGGAGUUUAGAAGCUGUCCACUAAUGCUGGGAGCUCAGUAGAUCAGCAAUCACAGUCAAAGCUAAUAAACUUGAAGGCUAAAAAUCAUUCUCUUAAUGUCUAUAUUGAUAGUAUUUUUGAUACUAAUACAUUUUUAGAAAAAUCCAAUUAGUGGUGACAGUGGAUAGUAGUCAUGCCUGUCAUCAACAUGCUUCUGCUUUUAUUCCUCUGUGUCAUAAAAGACAUAUAACAUUUCUCUUCUGUAACAACCCUGAGUGUCAUGCAGAAGAGCACAGUCAGCCUCAGCAGUCAUAAAUCGAACUUCAAGCGAGGGGGCAAUGCCCAGAGCAGGCUAUGAGAGCGAACGUGUCCCUUUAAAAGCUACCAGCCGGAGUCGAACAGAGGGAAGGAAUGUUCUGGGGCCUUAACAAAACCAGAUGCCCCGGCUUACUCUCCCUUGCACACAUGCUCUCUGUUGCCUUCUCUCACUCCUCGAGAUCUUAACACCGCAGAUGGAACAAGAACUGGGCAGCCUCCCUCCUCAGCCUGCCUGAAGUUCAUCGUCUUCUUUUUCGACUACCUUUUAACGUGGUCUGGCUCCUAGCUCCCUGUCUGUGUCCCAAUCUCCUUAUCUUCUUGUCUGCUCCUCUUUACCUCUCUGUCCUUAUGCUUGGCAGACCUCUUCCUCAUCCCCCUCCACCCCCACAAUCCUCCAUCACUCCAGUGACACGCACACACACACACACGGGAAACACCAACACGGGAUUAUUCCACGCUCCUGUACAUCCUCUUCAGGUAGCACUGCCAGUGCCUGCAUUAAUGCACCAUGAAAGUGCAUAUAGGGGUCACACCUUGACCUUGUGUGUUGUGUAGGUUUCAGGUCAGUGACUCGCCUGCCUGAUCCACUCCCAGGGAAUCGGCCUGUGAGUUAAUUAUGAGAUUGUGGAAGGAGGGAUGCAUGAGGCUUGGAGAAGAAGCACCUGCAGUAAGAUGAAUCUACCUGACCCUGAUUAACAGGAUGGGGCCAUUUUGCUUUCUGGUAGCAUAUAUUUGAAUUUGUGUGUGUGCGUGUGUGCGCGCGCAUCCACCCCUCUCUUCCUCCCUCUUUCCAGAUGUGCCACACCCGUGCUGUAAGACCUGGGUGGCCUGUACCUGUGUCUGUGCCAGCUGCUGUGCCAGCUGUGCAGGGUGAGCAAGCAGAACAGCAUCACAGAACGAGGUGAACAGACAGCUGCUGCAAACAGAGAUGGAGGAGCAUCAUCAAAGGAGGACUGAGUCAACCUACACGCCAUCAAUCAUAAUAUAUUCAGUAUUAGCUCAGUUAUUUUACAGCAUAACACUUAUUAUUAAGUCGAAAGCAUUUAAAAUUGGAAGUAAAGCAGUAUAAUUUCUUUUGUACAUAUGUUGCAGUCACACACUAUAAGAAAGCUCUUAUUAUUACAAAAAAUGUUUUUGCAGGCUUUAAUCUCUCCUAGCUGUUGAGGGGCUGCUUGAACUCAGUAAGAGAUAAGAAAGCCAGAAAGAGGUUGAGAAAAAAGUACUUGCUAUAAUUUUUUUCACAUCUGUAAAGACAAAAAGAAAUAAUUUUGAAAGUAAGUAGCCAACUUUUCACUAGAUUGUUGUUCAUUUUAAAUGGUUAUGACAACAUUAUGUCCAUGCUGUUGUCUUACGUUUUUUUUUCAACCUGAAAAUUGUUUUUUCUUUUAACUUUAACCUGCAACUCCAAGCAACUCCAAAGUCAAUUGAAGUGUGAAUAUAAGUGGGGAUUUCACUUAGAUUUAAGUCUUACAUAAGUAAAUUAUGUCUUUAUUUCCAAAAACAAACCAUUUAAUAUUUUUAUCUGCAGUGCUAUCAAAUACCAAAAGUCAGAGUUUUGCGUUGACACAGAAGACUCAGUGAGACAGUUUUUCUUACAAGGAUAGGGUUGCCGGUGCCCUUUGGAAUAUGUCAUACCAGUCACAUAUUUACACAGCAUGUAUAGACAUCAGGCUGCUGACUUUGACCCCUAGAUUAACUUCAUCUGUUCAAGUUCCUCUGACCCUCACAGAGAAGGUCACAGAAAUUUCCAACAGUCUUUUCAGGAAGAUAAAUCUACUCUCUAUCUGCUGUAGAGACAUUCUCCCUCCGGACAUCUAUAUAAGAGCUGAUCUAUGUUCCUUAUCUCUUGCCUUCAAUGUAAUGGCUAAUGGAGUGAUAGGCAACCCAGCUGUGAUAGGCGAUGGGUUUUAGCUUUGAAAUAGAAAGUCAAAGAACAAAGCGCUAAUGGACAAGUUGCACAUAUCCUAGAUUUUCAGAUAAGUUUUAGAUUAGUGUGUGUGUGUGUGUGUGCGUGUGUGUGUGUGUGUGUGUGUGUGUGUGUGUGUGUGUGCAGGAAUGAAUAAAUUGCAAAUGAGCUGAGAGUUUUUUUAAACUGAAGUAUUCUCUGGUGUGGUGUCUGCUGCACAGCCCUUGUUCACCUCUUAAGUCAAAGCAGGAAGAAGCUCCAAGGCCAGGUCUGAAGAGGUUUACAAACCUCUCCUAAAUUCUUCCCUGUGGGUAAAAUCAUGUGAAAGCUGCUUAGGCAGAUUAUCCCUGCCUCGACGACAGCUGGCAGUGAGAUCCUUGGGAGUGCACCUGACUCAAUACUGGUGGUGACGCAACCGCAGCCUGUGGCGUGCGUGCUCCCACAAUCCUCCGUGACCUUUAGCCCUGGAGGGAAAAGUGUAUCUUGUGGUCCAAGGAAAGCAGGACCUCAAUCUGCAGAUAUCACACACACACACACACACAUACACACAUCACAUUAAUGCACUAAUCAACAUACAAUCUGAUUACACAAAAUGUAGAAAUGUUUAAUCUAUUACAAAUGACUCAUGAUAAUCAAUCAAGUGGAAUGUGUUUUAAGCAAAUUGUUGUUAUUGUGUAAUCAUCAAUAAAUAUUGAAAUACU